CCUGGGGAUGGGGGUGCAGGUUAGCGGUGAGAGCUGGAGGCACCAAGAGAAAGUGGGAGGAAAAUAAACAGCAGGCCCACGAGUGACACUGUCCAGGUGAUGUCGGCCCUCCAGAGUUUGCUGAAUGAGUCCUAUUGAGCCCUCGAGGGUGGAAGAAGAGAUAUUGAUCGAGGAGGUGGUAGCUCUGAGAAGCCCCUGCUGCUCCCUUUGUAGGACUUACAAGGCACUAUAAAGCCAUCUUUGCUUCAUACAGGCUUGGGGCAGAGAGAGAAAUGCUAAGGAAAGAGGGUUGGGGUCUCAGGACAAGGAGAGUGGUGCUCUUGGCCCCUGAGAGCACUUGUUCAGGUUUUGAUGAACUGAGCUGAGGUCACCCCAGGUGCACAUGGCCCGAUGAGCUUGGGAAGUGAAAGAAGUGAGCUGAGAUAAGGAGGCAUGCAUCUCCCAUGGACGAGCUCCCCAGAUGUCCUUGGACCCUCCACUUGCCCGUCCUCUUAAUGGGAAUAUCUACAAUGAUUAAUGACAACCCCAAGAGCCUGUGUUUGUGGAAUGCUUGCCGGGUGCCCACUCUGUGCAAAGCCAUCUUACAUGCAUGCUUCUACUGAGUUCUUGCAGUAGCUUUAUGGAGGAGUGACUACGAGUACUUCCAGAGCAUUGACGAGGAUACUGACGCCCAUUUUGGGCAAAUGACUCACCCUAAGUCAUGUACACAGUUCGUUGCAGAGCUUCUGUUUGGACACAUGUCUGUCAGACUCCAGAGCCUGCUCUCCCAACCACUGUGCUCUCUGGCCCUUCAUUCAUUCAUUCUCGUCAUCCACUCACCCAAGACAAACCAAGACAGGUACUGAGUGAUGGGGGCACAAAGAAGACAUGGGCCUGUUUUCAGAGAGCUCUCCAUGGGGGAGAGCAGGGAGACAGAUCAUUAUCAUUCAAGGUGGCAAACAUCACCUGCUCUUAGUUGGGCAUGGACUUCUUAGAGUGUGCUGGGGAGAGAGAGACCACUGUGUGCUGGAGGAAUCAAGGAAGGCUAUCUGGAGGAGACAUUUUAGAGAAAGCCUUGAAGGAUAGUUAGAAGUUUGUCAGGAGAUAAAAGAGAGGGCCAAAAAGUAUUGGGUGUGUCUAGGAAACAGCACACAUUCUGGGGCACAAAGAAGAUGCUCAAAGAGGAGCCAUGGGAGAUGAGGCUGGAGAGGAGCCAUGGGAGAUGAGGCUGGAGAGUGGGCCAGGUUGUCAGGAGAGCCCAGGCAGAGGGGACAGGCAGUGGGGAGCCAUGGAGGGGUUUAUGCAGCGAGUGGCAUGUGGGUUUGCUUCAGAAUUAUAGCUGUGGCAGAAGCGGAUCAGAGUGAGGUGCCUGGGGGACCAUGGCUUGUCCAAGGGGACACUUACCCUAGCCUCUGGUAAGUCUCUGACAUUGCAAUUGGUUUUUAUUUGGAUUGAACCUCUUUUUUCAACAGAGCAGGGGCCUAAAGCUUUGCCUAGCACUUUUCUGGGCCCUUUGAGGAUACAGAAGGGAAGAGAAUAUGACUUUUGACCUCAGGGGCCUUUCAUCCCAGUUGGGCUCCGGGCUGACCCAGAAGCCAUUUGGGAAGAGUGAGCCGAAGGGCCCUGGCUGGGCCUGCCUUUGUCCCACCACAAAGGAAUAUGUCCAGGCUGCUGCUGAUGAUGUGGGGGUCAUUAUCUUAGAGAAGGCACUGUGAAGAUGUGAAAACAAAAGGGAGGGUGUGGAGUGAGAGAGGAGGGAGUCCAGAACAGCCCUCUAAGCAACACCCACGUCUAGGAGGAAGCUGAGCUGCCCACAAUCAGGGAGGAGAGCGGUGACGCCUGGGUGUCCAGCAGCUGAGGCCAGAAAGUGUGUCAAGGAGGAGGAAGUGUCGGCAGUGCCAGGCCGGGUCCAUAGCCCACGUGCGAUGGGGGAGGAAGGGCGUCCGCUAGAUUUGGCAACAAGGAGGUCAGAGGCAGCUGUCAGAGGCCAGCCUCAGCGGCCUGGAGGGGGCCGCAGCCAGACUGAGGGAGGUGGGAGGUGAGGAAGUGGGAAACACUUGUGUAGAUGCCCCCAGGUGAGAGGUUUGGCUGUGAAAGAAAAGCGGGGGUGGGACCACAGCGGGAAGGGGUCAGGAAGCCAAGAAAGGGAUGCUUUCCAGAAGAGGCUGAACUUGUGGCAACACUGUUGGCCAGGAGCCACGAGAGAGGGAGGGAGCUUGGGGAUGCAGCAGAUAGGGGCUGAUGGAAGGAGCGGUCUCUGAGGGUUAGGGAAACUGCUGCGGUGGAGACAGGGAGGAGGGCGGAAGGCGGGCGUGGGCGCAGCCGUCAGUCCACAGGUUGGGUGGCAGGACCCGAGGGCCUCUGGAGUCGUGCUGUGGAGGGUGCUGAGUCUGGGCGGCUGGGCCUGUGUGGAAGGUCAUGGUGGGCCUCCAGCUAUACCACUGUUGCCUUCUGCCUUUCUCAAUUCACCCCUCACUCUCCUCUCCUUCUCCUGCCCCCGCCUCACAUCCUGGAGAGGACAAGAAGAUGUAAGGGCCUUCACCUGGUGCCCCUUGGCCUCACGGUGCUGGUGACACUGGCAGAGAUGGAGAGGGGAAGCAAGGAAGCCCUGAGAAGGCUGCUGCCUGGGAGGAAGACGCCAGAGCUGCAGUGUUAACCUUGUGGGGGAGCAGGGGGUGGUGGGGGGAUGAGAGCCGGUGAGGGAGUCAGGAAGCUGACGGUGUGGGGAGUAAGGAGAGUGCCUGGGUUCACUGCGCAUAGGCUUGGGCAGGCUGGAGGAAGGAGCUGUGGAGAAAAGCCACAGAAAAUAAUUUCUCCACAGGUCCGUGGGCCCCGUGGUCCAAGGUAGAGCCAGUUUCCUCUGCAGGGAGUUUUCAGCGAGCGAGAAGAGAGGAGGAAUAUAGAAGACAGACUGGCCUUUCAUCUGGGCUUGACAUCUGCCAUGCAAAUUGUCACAGAAUGAUGAUGUGGCUGAACCGGUGGCCAGAUGGUCAUCGUCCUCAGUGGCUGGUCAUGGAGCACCCAGAGAAUUGCCAGAGGGUGUCACUGCAUCCCCCAGCAGGUGGAGCAACCCUCCUCCUGCCCAUCUUCCUUCUCCAUUCUCCAGAAUGAGGCCUCUCUCCUCCAACAGUCGCUAUUAUGUCGGCAAGGAGGC
rnacentral:lncRNA from 1 species